rnacentral:rRNA from 1 species
UAGGGAAUAUUGGACAAUGGGGGCAACCCUGAUCCAGCCAUGCCGCGUGAGUGAAGAAGGCCCUCGGGCUGUAAAGCUCUUUUGUCCGGAAAGAAAAGCUUCGGGUUAAUACCCCGGGGUUCUGACGGUACCGGAAGAAUAAGCACCGGCUAACUUCGUGCCAGCAGCCGCGGUAAUACGAAGGGUGCAAGCGUUACUCGGAAUUACUGGGCGUAAAGCGUGCGUAGGUGGUUGUUUAAGUCUGAUGUGAAAGCCCUGGGCUCAACCUGGGAAUGGCAUUGGAAACUGGGCAGCUAGAGUGCGGUAGAGGGUAGUGGAAUUCCCGGUGUAGCAGUGAAAUGCGUAGAGAUCGGGAGGGACAUCUGUGGCGAAGGCGACUGCCUGGACCAGCACUGACACUGAGGCACGAAAGCGUGGGGAGCAAACA